UUGCAUUUAGGCAUAUCGGUUUCCAUUCUAGCAAACCCCAAAACCAAAAAAAUAUAAGUGGUUUCUGAGUUCUUCUCUUCGCCACGCCGCCUGUUUUUUUCCCUCCGGAAACCAAACUACCCAAGAGGAGAAAAAUAAGAAGAAAUAAAUUCAUCUCUAAAACUCAAACUCAGAAGAAGAAGAAGACGAUUUCUACUUUGUCAGCUCCACCUCCACCCCUGGAGUUUCGUGCAAGAGUCAUAAGCCCCUUUUUCUCGCAAGUGUUUAGGAUUAAACCAUCUUAAAAGUUUCUAUUGCCUGGUAUGCAAGCACUGUGGUAGAUAAUUUCCAGGAAGUAUGAUGCAUAUGUUGAAAGAUUUAAUCAACAUGUUAGAGGAAGAAGGAAUUCAAGGAAGCCUGAUGAUUACAUGAAAUGGCUAACACAACAAUUUCAGGGAAAAAACAUGACAGAUUUUAAGCGGCUCGUUGAUGGUCCAUUUGGAUAUGCAGUAUCACAUAAUGCAUAUGCAGUAAAUGGAUAUAUCUUUUAUACAGCUGAUGCAGAAAAAGGUAUGUCCACAACCACAUUCAGAGAAAGUGCCAGAGAUCAGAACACGGUGAACGAUGAAGUUCCAUAUUUCGGAAUUGUUGAACAAAUUCUAGAACUGGAUUACACCACCUUCAAGCAAACUGUAUUUUAUUUUGAUUGGGUUCGCGUCGAAGACAAGGUGAAUGGAUGGUAUGUGGAUCCGGUUACAAGACAGAUUUAUGUAAACUUCGAACGGUUUAUGGGAAACACACAAGACACUGAUGAGCCAUUUAUCCAUUCUUCUCAAGCUACUUCAGUUUUUUAUUGCAGGGAAGAGAGUAGGCCUGAUAGGAAGUGGCACAUUGUUUUAGAAUCUCCAAAACGAUGAAGUCCUUAUGUGAAUGCUUUUGAGGAUCCUUUUGUCUUUACUGGCAUAGCUAAAGAAUCUUCCCUAACCGCAGAGAACUUAGAUGAUAACAGUAAUUCGGAAGAAGCUGUGUUUGAAAAUCAGGAGGCGGAAGUUCAACACCAGAAAAAGAAAGUCCCACUGGUGAGAUAUAUAUGCCAGACGUGUUUCUGAAGACACAAAGUCACCCCAGAUGAUAAUCCCUCAUCUUCUAAAUCACUGGCAGCUGCAAAAUUAGCAUUGGUGCAGGAGGAAUAUGAUAAAAAUCCUUCAGCACAAAAGUGUUUGGGAACCGACGCUGUUACCAAGAUAUUUGGCGCUGAUCGAAAGGGAUACAUACGCGGAAUGAGUGCUGGUGUUUCUAAAUCUCAGUUUCUUACUUCUGAGUUUAUGAAGGCCAGGUUACAGGAAGAGAAGCACAAUGUGCUGAAAGAGAAGCACAAUGUGCUGAAAGAGAAGCAGAAAAAAGAAGCUUUGAAAGCACAGUUGGAUGCUGAAAGAUAGAAAAACAACAUUGGAGUACAUGAUCAGAUCUCUAAUAGCUCUUACCAGCAGUAGUACCCUUGUCGUUUGGUCUUUUCUUUUGGAGGAACUUAAGGAAAAAGCCAGUUGCAGUUGCAUAUGUCAUACUACAGUGCUGAUUGAUGACGACUACAACUGCAUGCUUCACGUAAUCAUUGAGCCAAGUGCAAUGUUGUGCGACAGAGAUGAUGCUGUACUUCGGGAUGUUCCUAUUGGUAAUUUUAUUAGGUGGCCAAAGGCCUAUGUGACCCCCGUAGGAGAGCAUUCAAGUUAGAGCGGCAGUGACAGUAGAUUAUGUAAUUUGGAGUUGUUAGGAUGUCUUCUAAUUAAUGUUGGAAUAUUCUAUUUUCUUUAAAAAAUAAUUAAUAAAUUAAUAAAGUCAAUUUG